rnacentral:rRNA from 1 species
UACGGGGGGGGCAAGCGUUGUUCGGAAUUACUGGGCGUAAAGGGCUCGUAGGCGGCCCGGUAAGUCAAAGGUGAAAUCCCUCGGCUCAACUGAGGAACUGCCUUUGAAACUGUCGGGCUUGAGGCCGGGAGGGGGUAGCGGAAUUCCCAGUGUAGCGGUGAAAUGCGUAGAUAUUGGGAGGAACACCGGUGGCGAAGGCGGCUACCUGGACCGGUUCUGACGCUGAUGCGCGAAAGCGUGGGUAGCAAACAGG